ACUCCUACGGGAGGCAGCAGUAGGGAAUCUUCCGCAAUGGGCGAAAGCCUGAGCGGAACACGCCGCGUGAGUGAAGAAGGUCUUCGGAUCGUAAAACUCUGUUAUUAGGGAAGAACAAAUGUGUAAGUAACUAUGCACGUCUUGACGGUACCUAAUCAGAAAGCCACGGCUAACUACGUGCCAGCAGCCGCGGUAAUACGUAGGUGGCAAGCGUUAUCCGGAAUUAUUGGGCGUAAAGCGCGCGUAGGCGGUUUUUAAGUCUGAUGUGAAAGCCCACGGCUCAACCGUGGAGGGUCAUUGGAAACUGGAAAACUUGAGUGCAGAAGAGGAAAGUGGAAUUCCAUGUGUAGCGGUGAAAUGCGCAGAGAUAUGGAGGAACACCAGUGGCGAAGGCGACUUUCUGGUCUGUAACUGACGCUGAUGUGCGAAAGCGUGGGGAUCAAACAGGAUUAGAUA
rnacentral:rRNA from 1 species